GGGCUGUGGCCUCCAAGUGGGUCUGGUUCCCGGAUACUCACAGCCUUAGUCGGUUCUUGGGAUGGGACCGGGCCGGAGGAGGUCGAGACUUUUCUACACGCUAGCCCCAAAGUCCGGUUGGAAGGCAAGCCAACCAGAGCUCCGCGCGGCGGAAAGGCGCGGGGGCGGGGACAGGGGCUGGAGCGACGAAGGUCCCGCCUCGGCCAGGCCUGCUGGGCUCCCGACGCUCGCGGGACAGCGGGAAACCGGGUUCCGGGCGUGGGGCGAGGACGCCCCUGCCAAGCCCCUUUUACGUCCCGGCGGUCGCGAGGAAGUCCCCCGGGCGGGAAGAAGACGCCAGCCCACCCCAGCCGCCGGGGAGCCCGCCCAGGCAGCGCUCAGCCCCGACCCUGGCUCUGCCCCCGCCGCGGAGCGGAACCCUCCAAGUCGCGGCCUGAGGGGGAAGGAAAAGGGGGCGGCCCGGGAGAGCCGCUGCGAAAUCAGCAACGGGCGGGAACCAGGUUGCCUCCCUGAGUCCCUUCUCUCCCCGGCCGGCUGCCAACCACAGCCAAGGCCAGAGAAACAGGCCCUUCUGCCGCUGCCACCUGAACGCCUUGGACCCGCCCUCCGGACCCGCCCCCGCCCCUGCCGCGGAGUGGAACCUUUGGAACCCUGAGGGGCACAGCUCCUCUAGCAAUUACGAUGUGAAAAGAAGAUGGAUGGAGAAGCACUGAUUCAGCCAUGGCUGACAUGUCGGAGUUGGAAUGGACAGUGCCCGGACCUCACAGUCUCAGAGAACUGGAGAAGAGUAAAGCUGAAGAGGGCACCAUCUGGUUACAAAUGACAAGUCCAGGGCUCCAGGAAUCCGGGGCCAAAGGGGACCAAGACCACAUUUUGGAGGUUCAUUCUCUCACAGCUGAGGACCUUAUACAUGGGUCAUCUCCUCCCCACCCUGGCCCUGGUGGCAGGACACCCUCACUGCAUCGAGGGUGAGCGUACUCUGCUGUGCUCAGGCACCUUCCCAUUCAACAAAUAUUUAUUAAGUAAAAUAAAUACCAUGUGCUAGGCACUACGGGAGGUGCUAGGAGUGCAGUGGUGAACAAGACACAUACAACCGUGCCCUUUUGGGUUGUACGUGCCAGUGCGGCAUUCAAACAAAUAAAAACGCAAAUGGAUGAAUCUGUGAAACACUGACAGUUUUAAAGAGAGCUAUAAAGCAAACAUAUAAGAUGAAUUAUAUUUUUAGAGGAGACAAUGAUACAAAAAGCAACUUGCUCAAUAUUACAAAGAAAGUUAGCAAUUCAAAGGAAUGUCACACAUGAUAAUUUCUAUUAAGAUGCUCAUUUUGGCAGGCGCCAGGCCAAUGCUUUGCCACCGUGCCAGAAAGCUAACUGCAAGUGGGGGGACGUGCCUUUUCACUCAAUUUCUCUUCUAUUUUUUUUUUUCCU